ACACACACACACAGACACAGACAGACACACACACACAGACACACACAGACAGACAGACACACACACACACAGACACAGACAGACAGACAGACACACACACAUAAUAGCGGCCUCAUCACCUUUUAUGCCUCUUUUCUCAGUCUUUUCUCUUCAGUCGGUUUGAGGAAUGUUUUUUUUAAUCAAAUGUAAAUACUAACUUUGUCCCCAAUAGCUUGGUGGAUUUACAAUCAAUUCCCCUCGGCCUUCCAUUGGCUGACUUCAAAGCGAACGGCCCCAUGAUCAGCCCGUCAUUUUAUGGAAGAAAUGUUUCCCCUCCCUAGUGUUUCCCCUCCCUUUUUCCCCCCACUAGUUCUUAAUGAGGUCUGGAACUGCAUCCAAAAUGGCACCCUAUUGCCUAUAUCAAGGCACCCUAACCUCUAGGUUUUCACUCCAACCCUAGUUCUAAUAAUUAUCUUGUUGGUAAGCUGAAUCAGGUUAGUUAGAACUAGGAUUGGAUUGAACACCUACAGGACGGUAGCUCUCCAGGAACAGGAUUGGAGUGAAUACCUACAGGACGGUAGCUCUCCGGGAACAGGAUUGGAGUGAAUACCUACAGGACGGUAGCUCUCCAGGAACAGGGUUGGAGCGACCUGCCCUAUAUAGUAUCCCUUCUUUUGACCAGGACCCAAUGGACCCUAGUAAAAAGUAGUGAAAAGGGUGCCAUUUCAGUCGCAGCCUAGAUGCUGAGUUAAUAGCAGGCCUGUAGUAUAGCAGAGCAGCCUGAGGACGCCAGACCAGACUGUGAAUGCAUCCAAAAUGGCACACUUUCCCCAAUAUAGUGCACUACUUCUGACCAGGGCUCUGGUCAGAAGUAGUGCACUAUGUAGGGAAUAGGGUGUAAUUUGGGAUGAAGAUUAAGAUACUUAACAUAACUGUACAGUUUUCUCUGCUCUGCUUUGGCUCUUUUUCCUCUGAAGGGGUUGCUGCCCAAAUUACUGGGUACACUCUGCCGGCCCAGAAAGAUGAAAGGAUUGGGGGGGGGGGGGGGGGCAAAAUGACUGUGAGGGGGCUCUGUUCCAGAUUUUUUGUAUUUUUCCUAGUUAACUUUUAACCAUUGAAUGUCUGACUUUCUCAGAGGAUAGGCUACAACACUGAAUAAUUGCUGAACGUGUGUGUGUGUGUAUCUGUGUAAAUAGUUUACUGUCAGUCCUCUGCCGUUUAUACUUUAUCUUUAUCAGUUUGUUUGUAAUUAGGCCAUGGUGGUAUAAGAAUUGAGAGGAAGUUGAGAUGCAAAAGUAAAGUUGUGAAAAAAGCCCUCCCACUUUUUCCUUU